CAUUUCGUAUUUUAGAAAUCGCGGCGCCAUCUUGGAUUUCAGCUGUUGGCAUCCAAACAGCCUCAGGACUGUUUUACCUGUGCAGAAUGUGGAUACCCUGUCGCAUGGGAACAAUAGACGUAGGAGUGUCUUGUUUAUUUAGCAGUUUACACAAGACAAAAGGUUGAUCCUCUGUGUGCAGACUUCCCGAGUUCCCUUUUCUACAACAUGAUGAUAUUUACUAAAGGACUGCCUUGCCAUUCAAGAUUUCAAGAUGAAAACAGGAUUCUUCAGUGAAUUCUUUGAA